rnacentral:RNase_P_RNA from 1 species
CGAGCCGGGCGGACGGCCGCGUGGAGUCCCCUUGACGGGGGCUUCCCGAGGAACGUCCGGGCUCCACAGAGCAGGGUGGUGGCUAACGGCCACCCGGGGUGACUCGCGGGACAGUGCCACAGAAAACAAACCGCCCGACGCUUCGGCGCCGGGUAAGGGUGAAACGGUGGUGUAAGAGACCACCAGCGCUUGAGGUGACUCAGGCGGCUAGGUAAACCCCACCCGGAGCAAGGUCAAAAGGAGCGCCGCCGUGAAAAGCGCGCUCUGCGCGGACGCCCGAGGGCUGCUCGCCCGAGUCCGCGGGUAGACCGCAGGAGGCCGACGGCAACGUCGGUCGUAGAUGGAUGGCCGUCGCCCCGGCGCCCGCGAGGGCCCGGGGAACAGAACCCGGCGUACAGCCCGACUCGUCUG